rfam:Camelus ferus unplaced genomic scaffold scaffold398, whole genome shotgun sequence.
GAGGGUAGAGCUCAGUGGUAGAGGAUGUGCUUAGCAUACACAGGGUCCUGGGUUCAAUCCCCAGUGCCUCCU